rnacentral:tRNA from 1 species
GCCGGAUUGGCGCAGUGGAAGCGUUCUUGGUUUGGGUCCAAGAGGUCCUGAGUUCGAACCUCAGAUCCGGCC